AUGGUUUAGGGCUAGAUCCGUUAUGUCUGAUAGCAUUCAGUGAGAAUUCCUUAUUUCGCCAGCAAAAUUCCAGAGGUUCUCUCCAACCAAAAAGGUAUGCAGCUGAGUGUGAAGACUUAGCAACUUGUGUUGGUCUCUGACUGCUAAAGAGAGAAAUGGAUAUAGUAAUUGCCUGAUAAUAAGCUAUUCUGAACUUGGAAACAUAAAUUCUAAAUAUUUAUGCUGUUUUUUCCUUUGAGUGGCUAAAUACUUUUGUAUUUUUCUGUUUGUUCACCAUUAGGUGGACUUUUUUUGGACAUGAAUACACUUCUUAAUUAAUCAGUGCGAUUAAAUAUAAUGGCAUGCAUGUGGUCUAUUCUGCUACUUGUAGAUCAUGUUCUGAUCCCACUCCUAGUGAGAAAUUCCUAUCAGUGAAAAGGAAGCAAGAUCCUACUGCUGAGCACUGCAGCAACGUAUGGAGGUGGCAACAGUAACAGUGAAAGUCUCAUCAAGUCUUGUUUAAAAUACAGAUGUCCUCGGAUAUCCUGACUUCUGAAUGGGGGGUAAAAACAGUAA